rnacentral:lncRNA from 1 species
AUGAUUGCAUUGUGGGCCACCAGGGUUCGUCUUUCUUAUCUCCAUGUCCCUUUUCUCGUAUUUCAGUCCACCACGCCUGAAGCUCGGGAUCUUCCUGAACCAUUUCAUCACUCUUGUAGUAAAGAUUGCAGUAAUCCUGAACCCAUGUUUUGAUUGCUCCCCAGAUCUCGAGUCCAUCAACAGCAAAAGGAUAGUCCUCUAUCAGUAAUCGCACUCCAUGUGGGCAGCUAGAGUCUUUGAUUGCCACCCCUCUGCAAAUUCGUAGAUAGUUAGCAAGAGAUGUAAGUUCAAACUUUUGAGAAAGCUUUAGAGUUAUUUUCGUUCAGUUUUUACAAAAUUAUGGAGCAAUGUUAUGGAAGGGAUUGAUUGGACAGUGUCUUAGAAUUUUUUAUCUGAUGAGUGAUCAUUAUUUGCAAUCUCAUGACAAUAGUAUCAUAUUGUAGAGCUCAAUACACAUGUACCUUUUUAUAAGGUCUCCUGGAAGUGCUUGCUCUGGGAAAACCCAGUCCUUAUAAACCAUAGAUGACAUUUCCAAAGAAUAUUUUCCUGGAAAUACUGUCAUCUCAACAAACCCUCCAGCACAUAUAAGGGCUUGACGAGCUAGUGCAUUUAUAUUCAU